AGAACUGUCAGAAACAGAUACUCUCAGCAAGCAUCUACCAUCUUUAACUAUAAUGCCUUGCCUAGCACUUGGAAGAUACUCUUCAACAGAGUUAAUGGGCGCCCUGCAAAGUUUGCCCAAGAAGAUAAAUGCUGAUAUUAACAGAUGAGAUGUGUCUUAUGAGAUCACUUCCAGGAAACCUGGUGGCCAUUCUGGAAUCCUGAAAAAUACGCCAUGGCCAUCUGAUCAGGGGUAGUCACAAGAGUCAACAUUAGCCAGGAAUUCUGGUGGUAAGUGUUACCCAGUCUUGGAAGGUGUGCACCAAAGACAGAGGAGCAAUGAAUGGUCAAUCUGACCCUAUAUUUACAAACAUGUUCACCGAGUGCCAUAUGGACAAAACAGUUCCUGGUAAAAAUUUGGACAACAAUUAACAUAAGCACUGCAGGAGAUCCCAACUGUUGACCUCUAAAAAGAACAGGUUUCAGAGUAACAGCCGUGUUAGUCUGUAUUUGCAAAAAGAAAAGGAGUACUUGUGGCACCUUAGAG